UCAGCGUCAAAAUUUUCUUUUAAUUUUUUUUAUAUUUUUGAACAUUAUAACUUUCAAGAUGUUUUCGUUUUUUCCCAUAUUUUUACAUUGAGCCUUCAACAUCUAUGUAUUUUCUUUACGUUUCUGGUAUGCGGUGUUUCUCAUCAUCACCAAAAAAGACUCACAUCAUGCUCUUGUUCUUUAUCGCCUUCUUCACCUUGAGAUUUCUGGUAUUUAUUGUAGAUCGGGUUUAGGAGUUCCCAGUUGUGCGGUUGUUUCUCGCAUCAUUUUAGGCUACUCCAUGCAAUAUUGGAUGCUCCUCUUCUUCCUUAGAUUUUAGCUGAUGUUAGGAACUGCAUCUCUUUGGGUUGAGUCAGAGUUUAGUCGUCUUUGAAGUUGUUUUCCUCGUCGUUGGCUUACCAUUGUUACUCCCCUCUCGUCUUGGUUUUCAAGAUAUGGUUUUUGGUGAUCUGACUUCUAUAGCUCGAAGACGGCUCCACGAUUUGAUGAUUUCGUUUUGUCUACCCUUCCAGCUAUGUUCUUUCAUCUCGUUGCAGCUUUCAACCCUGCUUGCGUCUCUGUGACUCUCUCUCUCUUUCGCCAUGUUUGCCACUCUAGGUUUGGAUAGUGUUCUCCUCCGAGUAUGCUCUGUAGAUUUGGAAGAUUGUUUCUGGUCUCAAGUCUGGACUCAUGUUUCUCGGGGGUUGGCUUCAUUUCUCCCUCACUCAUGUUGUUCUCUUCUUCCCUUAGUAUAAAUGUGUGAUAUUAGACUCUUGGAGCUUUGGUCCCUUCUAUCCAGAAUUUUGUGGUUCUUCCCCGGCAUAGGCGUCUUGUUUGUGCUUGUUUAGUUUGUGAGAUGCUUCUUACCUCUUAGCUGGUGGUUGUGCUUAUCGUUUGUUAUGUAUGUCUCUUCCUGCUUCGUGGUGAUUUUGGCCUUCUGUUGAUUAUUCUUACUCUAACCCGCUUUCUUGGUUCUUUGCAUUGGUCCUUGAUCACGCUCAUUUGUGUUCGAGGGAUUGCUUUAUCUGAAGAUUAUAUUUCUACAUUUUACUGACUUUUGAUUGUUCUGGCAAAGAUACUCUAUGAUAAAGUGGGGUAAGUUAGUUUUCGUUCUUGAUCGCCUUUGAGCUCUGGACCUUUAUUGAGUUAGUGUUUCUUUGGCAUUUUUUUUCUCUGGGAUUAUGGUGGUUUUAUGUUUAAAUUAUGUGUUCUGCUUUAGUUUGGUUAAUAUUAAGAUAAAUAUAUAGUUGUAAAUGAAAUAAUAGAAAAUAGUAAAAAAUAAUAAAAUAACGAAAGUUUAUGUUAUUUUUAGCUGCGAAUAAAUUAAAUAUUUAAAGUACAUUUAUAUUUUUUACUUAUUUCUUUAUUCGUUUUGCAAUUUUUUGAACAAUAAAAUAGAUUAAAAUAUAUUAGCAAAAUUCAAAAGAUGAUAGUUAGUGUGAGAAGGAUUAGAUAAUGUAUAAUUAGAAAAUAGUGAACCAAAUUGCAAUAAUCUAAAAGAAGAAUGAUCUAAAAUGUAAAAAGACAAAAAGAUGACACGUGGCAGCAAACCCCCCUGCCACUUGUCGGAAGAAGAGAAAAAAUCUACUUUAUAUAUAAAGAUAUUAGCAUUAGGGCUGGGCAAAUAAACCAAACCCGAAAAUUCGAUCCGAACCCGAUCCGAUAAAAAUGAAUCCGAACCCGACAUAAAUACCGAAUGGAUCAUUUUUUUGGUAUUUUGGGUUAUGGGUAUUAUCCGAACCGAACCCGGACCUAAAUGGAUAUCCGAUAGAACCCGAAAUAUUUAAAAUCACAAAAAGAACUUCUACCAAAUAUGAUCUUAAUUCUUAAUAUGUAUCCAAAAUACUUUAAGAUAUUAUUAAACUUCUAAAAUAAUUAUCUAUUACACGAAGGUUGAUGGUAGAAUGUGGCGGUUGAAGCCUGGAGUUUUUAGAUUUUGGUUUUGUUUUCAUUGAAUAAUGUUUCUCAUUUCAUGAGAACUUAGUUUUUGUUUUAUGAUUUCAUUUAUCUGGUUUUCUUUCUAUCACUAACUAUGUUUAUCUUUCGCUUGAUUUUGAAUGAUCACGUUUGAUGUUUUUUCUUAUUUUUUAAUCAUUUUUUCAUAUGUUUUGGCUAUUAAAAUAUGUACAAAUCAUGUAUUUUAAAUCCGAAGAACCGAUUUCAUUUAUGUUUUAGUUACAAAAUAGGUACAAAUCAGGUAUUUUAAAACCGAAGAACCGAUUGGGACCCAAACCCGAAAGUACAAUGGGUUAUACCGGUUCUUAGAAGAUUUACUAAUCCCGACCCGAACCCGAUAGAACCCGAACUGGUCCCGAACCGAAAUUUUAUAUAACCCGAAUGGGGUUGAUUUUGAUAAACCCAAAAAAACAAAACCCGAAUGGAUAAAACCGAAACCCGAUUGGGACCCCGAAUGCCCUUGCCUAAUUAGCGUAGAACAAACUAAAAAAUUAACUCUAACAGAUAAAACAAAACUAAAUCUGACUAAACACCAACCAAACCGAAUCCCUUAUAUACAAAAGCACAAGUCGCAUCUCCAAUCAAAAUCUGACAUGUGGAAAAUCAUUUUAAAAAAUUAAAAAACAAUUGACAUGUGGAAAAGCUAAAAAACUAUAAACAAAUAAUUAAUUUUUUUUCCUGAAGUUCCUAUUUUCUUUAGUCUAAAUAUUAACUACCUAUUUCUUAUUUUUCUUAAAAAAUUUAAGCUAUGUUGGUUUAUAUAUUUUCCGUAUUUUCUUCGGUAUCUUUUGUAUAAUAAAAGCAUAAAUCAAUUGACCAAUAAUUCAACUUUAUUUUUCAAAAGAAAAACAAAUUACUGAAAAGAAAAACAGUUGAAACAAGAGAACAAACCAAUUUAUUUUUAGUUUUACUCUACAAAAAACGAAAAGAGGAAAAAACUGUGCCAACUGCCUCAACCAUUACAGCAACGAUACCCAACUACAUCAACUUUAAAUGCACACUAGAAUCACUUUGACAAAAAAAAUUAUUCCAAACAGUUUCAUUUUUUUCCACAAAGUAACCGAUGCUUUCAUCUUUCGUAUACUUUGAUUUUCUUCUCUUGAAAAUGCUGUCGAAGUGUAUAAAAUGAUUUUAGAGAAGAUGAAGUGAAGGUUAUACUGUCUUUUUGGAAAUUCGUGGUUAGUGGUGUAGACGAGUUCAGAUAAUACUCAGUCAGUUUUAUUUUAAGUGUUACUUUGAGUUUGUGCAUAAAGAUUAAGGAAAUAAUUAAUUUUGUAUAUUUUUUAUAUAAAAACACAAUUACCUAUACACCUAACCAUAUUCCAACCAAUAAAAAAAUAAAUUAUUAGUAAAAAUUAAUAAAUUUUGCAUUGAAAGUUAAAAAUGAAACUUAUUUUGUAACGAAAUUUUUUUUUUACAACGACACUUAAUAAGAAACGGAAGAAAUAGUUGUUUAGUAAAAGAGUAAGCGAUAAAGUUUUAACUUUUAAGUCUCAGCAUUUAAUUAUCUUACAUUACGAAGUUUUAGUUUUUUUUUUAGUUUUUUUUUCUGCAGAGAAAUCAUUGCUGCUACUAGGUCUUCAAGUGAUAAUUAAUUUUAGAUGAUAAUUAAACAAGAGAAUGUUAAUCAUUUUCUUAUUCGGUACGUAGUACGGGUAGACAACUAGUAUCAAUACUAAAACUGAAUCAAAUCAGAUAUAAGCCAAACCAAUCUAAUUUUGGAUGAUUUGGUUAAAAUAAAUUCGAUCCAAAUAAAAUAAACUAAAAUUGAAUUUAAACCAAAAUGCUCAUCUUGUUAUAUUUAUUGUGAUGUCAAUUAUAGAAAGUCUUGUCACCAAUAUUUACUUGUACUUGGUCUCCAAGCUAAACCAUAUUGUAUUCCUAUAUAAAGAGUUCAUUAUUCAUGGAAUAAGACACACCAAUUCCUCUCUUCUCUUGUCUUCUCUUCUUUAUUCAAAACACGAUAUCAGCACGAAGCUCUAACGAUCUUGAGCUAAUAGUGAGCUAUGUCGAAAAUUUCUAGUCUUGAAUUUGAAGUUCUUGAUAUCACUGGAAACAACUAUUUGGCUUGGGCAUUAGAUGCCGAAUUUUCCCUUAGGGCAAAGUGACUUGAAGGUACAAUCCUAAAAGGAAAUCAAGCCGAAAAUCAAGAUAAAGCAAAGGCUAUGAUAUUCCUUCGUCAUCACCUCCGUGGAGAUCUCAAAAAUGAGUAUUUGACGGUAAAAGAUCCACAAGUCCUUUGGAACGACUUAAAGGAAAGGUAUGAUCACCAGAAAACUGUGAUUUUACCUAAAGGUCGUUAUGAAUGGGCACAUCUGAGAUUACAAGACUUUAAGUCUGUAAGUGAUUACAACUCAGCCUUGUUCAAAAUUACUUCCAAGUUGGAGUUAUGUGGGGAGAAAAUCACGGAAGCUGAUAAGUUAGAGAAGACAUUCUCUACUUUUCAUGCAAAUAAUGUUGUCCUGCAGACACAAUACCGUGAAAAGGGAUUCCAGAAGUAUUCCCAACUUAUAUCUUGUCUCCUUGUGGCUGAGCAGAACAAUGAGCUUUUGAUGAAAAAUCAUGGACUACGUCCAACUGGUUCUGCUCCAUUCCCUGAAGCGAAUGUGACUGAACAGAACAACACUGGCCGCGGAAAUGGCUACACUCGUGGUCGCGGUCGUGGCCGUGGUCGUGGACAUGGUCGUAGAGAUACACGUGGACGUGGAUAUGGUCAAAUUCGAGUCCGGGGAGUUUCUUUUAAGAACUCUAACUCUCACCAGAAGUGGGAAAAGAAAGAUGGUGACAAACAAGAAAAUGAAUGCUACCGAUGUGGAAGUAAAGACCAUUGGGCUCGUACGUGCCGUACACCAACACAUCUUGUUGCCUUGUAUCAACAGUCAGUAAAACAAAAGGGAAAGAAUGUGGAAACAAACAUGGUGUACGAAGGUGGAGAGGAUGAUUUUCAUUUUGGUGAUGCCACUCACCUUGACCUUUCCGAUUUUCUCGUUGAUGAAGACAAAAAGUGAUUGAGUAAUAACUAUUUAAGAGAUGCUUUGUUUUAGUUUAUUUAUUGGCUUUUAAUCAUUUGGCUUUUAGUUAUUGGCUUUGGUUUUUAUUUACUAAGAUGUUGUUUCUUUUGCAUUAAUGAAUUUAACCUAUUUUAUUAUUUUAUAUGAGAUUAUAAUUUAUUUUAUUUAUUUAUUUGAAGAGAAAUGGAUGGUGGAGAUUUAUGUUUAGCAGACAGUGCAACUAGUCACACAAUUCUGAAAAAUAAGAAAUACUUUUCUCAUUUAAUAAAUAGAGAAGCAAGUGUGAGCACUAUAACAGGUAGUGCAAAGAUAAUUGAAGGCUCUCGAAGAGCAAACAUAAUACUUCCUAUGGGAGCACAACUUGAAAUUGUUGAUGCAUUGUAUUCCCCUAAGUCUUAAAGAAACUUACUAAGUUUUAAAGAUAUUCGCAGAAAUGGAUAUCAUAUUGAGACUAGGAAUGAAGGAAAUAUUAAAUUUCUUCACAUUACAAGUAUUAUUCAUGGCUCUAAGAAAGUAGUAGAAAGACUACCAACAUUCUCUACUGGAUUAUAUUACACUAAGAUUAGUGCAAUUGAGGCAAAUUCCAUAGUAAACCAGAAGUUUACUGAAAAUAUUACUGUUUGGCAUGACCGGUUAGGUCAUCCCGGUUCAACAAUGAUGCGAAAGAUAAUCACAAAUUCAUGUGGGCAUCCACUGAAGAACCAGAAGAUUCUUCCUAAUGAUUAUUCAUGUGCUGCUUGUUCUCAAGGCAAAUUGAUUAUAAGGCCUUCACCAGCCAAGAUAAUUCAUGAAUUAAUAAACUUUCUGGAACGUAUUCAAGGAGACAUUUGUGGGCCGAGUCACCCACCAUGUGGAACCUUUAGAUAUUUUAUGGUUCUAAUUGACACAUCAACAAGAUGGUCACAUGUUUCUUUGUUAUCAACUCGCAACCUGGCGUUUGCGAGACUGCUUGCUCAAUUGAUCAAAUUACGAGCACAUUUUCCAGAUUUUUCCCUUAAGGCAAUUCGCCUAGACAAUGCUGGUGAAUUCAUGUCCCAGACUUUUAAUGAUUAUUGCAUGUCUAUUGGGAUAAGUGUUGAACAUCCUGUAGCACAUGUUCACACACAAAAUGGUUUAGCUGAAUCGUUAAUUAAACGUCUUCAGUUGAUUGCUAGACCAUUGCUUAUGUAAUCAAAACUCUCAGUCUCUGCAUGGGGGCAUGCUAUAUUACAUGCAGCAGCGUUGAUUCGCAUAAGGCCAACGAGUAAUCAUCAAUUCUCCCCAUCACAAUUGAUUAUGGGUCAUGAGCCCAAUAUUUCCCAUCUUAAGAUAUUCGGAUGUGCAGUAUAUGUUCCGAUUGCUCCACCACAGCGAUCUAAAAUGGGACCUCAAAGAAGUUUAGGAAUAUAUGUUGGAUAUGAUUCUCCAUCAAUAAUUAAAUACUUGGAGCCAUCCACAGGGGAUUUAUUUAAGGCCCGAUUCGUAGACUGUCAUUUUAAUGAGUCUGUUUUUCCAACAUUAGGGGAAGAGAAGAAACAGUUGGGAAAGGAUAUUAAUUGGAAUGAAUUAUCAUUAUCUUAUCUUGAUUCUCGAACUAAAGAAUGUGACCUAGAAGUCCAAAAGAUAAUUCAUUUACAAAGCUUAGCAAACCAGUUGCCAGAUGCAUUUACUAACCCAAAAAGAGUGACUGUGUCACAUAUCCCAGUUGUAAAUGCUCCAGUUAGAAUGAAUUUCCAAAAAGGACAAAAUCAAUCUGCUAAUGAGUCUAAAACACGCCUGAAGCGUGGUAAACCUAUCGGUUCUAAAGAUAAAAAUCCUCGAAAAAGAAAAGGAGCAGAAAUUGGCAAUAAUGAAACCGAGGUAAUUACUACAAAUGAAAAAUCUCCAGAAGAGAACAUGACACAAAAAGAAAUUCAGGUACCUGAUAUUGAAGAGAUCUCAACUAACUAUGUCAUGUCUGGAAUGAAAUGGAACCGAAAGCAAAUCGACGUCAAUGAUAUUUUUGCAUACAAUGUAGCAGUUAAUCUUAUGGAAGAGGAUCAUGAACCAAAAUCUAUUGAAGAGUGUACACGAAGAAGUGAUUGGCCAAAAUGGAAAGAAGCAAUAGAUGCUGAAUUAAAAUCUCUUGUAAAGAGAGCAGUGUUUGGACUUGUAGUCCGUACACCUAAAGGUGUAAAACCAGUGGGAUAUAAAUGGGUUUUUGUGCGAAAAAUGAAUGAAAAUGGUGAGAUUGUGAGAUACAAAGCACGUUUAGUUGCUCAAGGAUUUUCACAAAUACCAGGAAUUGAUUAUGAAGAGACAUACUCUCCUGUGGUGGAUGCUACUACAUUCAGGUUCCUUAUCAGUCUGGCGAUAAAGGAAGGACUUGAUUUACGCUUAAUGGAUGUAGUCACAGCUUACUUAUAUGGCCCACUAGAUACUGACAUUUACAUGAAAGUCCCUGAAGGAUUUAAACUGCCAGAAGCAGCAAAUUCUAAUUCUCGAGAAAGUUAUAGCAUAAAGUUAAAUCGAUCUCGUUAUGGACUGAAACAAUCAGGACGUAUGUGGUAUAAUCGCCUAAGUGAGUACUUGUUGAAAGAAGGCUAUAAAAACGAUCCUAUCAGUCCAUGUAUCUUUAUAAAAAGAUUUGAGAAAGGAUAUGUUAUAAUUGCAGUGUAUGUUGAUGAUUUAAACAUUAUUGGAACUCCUGAAGAGAUUUCAAUUACAAUGGAUUACUUGAAGAAAGAAUUUGAGAUGAAAGAUCUUGGAAAAACAAGAUUUUGCUUGGGACUACAAAUUGAGCACUUUAAGAAUGGAAUCUUAGUGCAUCAAGAAACUUACACAGAAAAGGUUGCUAAACAAUUUUCUAUGGAUCAAGCACAUCCUUUGAGUAGUCCAAUGGUGGUAAGAUCACUCGAUGUGAAUAAAGAUCCCUUCCGCCCUAGAGAGAAGAAUGAAGAAGUUCUUGGUCCUGAAGUACCAUACUUAAGUGCUAUAGGGGCAUUAAUGUACCUUGCCAGUCAUACAAGACCUGAUAUAUCAUUUGCAGUGAAUCUACUGGCAAGGUUUAGUUCAUGCCCAACUCGUAGGCAUUGGAAUGGAAUAAAACAUAUACUCCGAUACCUCCAAGGUACGAAAGACAUGGGAAUAUUCUUUUCUAACCCAUCCACAGAAGAUUUGAUUGGUUUUGCAGAUGUUGGAUACAUGUCUGAUCCCCACAAUGCUAGAUCACAAACAGGAUAUGUGUUUACUUGUGGUGGAACUGCUAUAUCUUGGCGUUCGAUGAAGCAAGCAAUUGCUGCUACUUCUUCCAACCACGCAGAGAUUUUAGCCAUUCAUGAAGCUAGUCGCGAGUGUGUAUGGUUAAGAUCCGUCAGAUUGUGGUCUAUCUACAGGGAAAGAAUCCCCAACAGUCAUGUAUGAGGAUAAUGCUGCAUGUAUCGCUCAACUCAAAGAUGGUUACAUCAAAGGAGACAGGACAAAGCACAUUCUACCGAAAUUCUUUUUCACCCAUGAUCUACAGAAGAAUGGCGAUGUUCGUAUCGUUCAAGUUCGUUCAAGUGACAAUUAAUCUGACUUAUUCACCAAUGCGCUACCCACUUCUACUUUCAAGAAGUUGGUUCAUCUUAUUGGAUUACAUCGUCUCAAGGAUCUUGACGUUAGUAUACAUGAGGGGAAGUAAUUGCGCGCUGCACUCUUUUUCUCUUAACCAUGGUUUUUCCCACUGGGUUUUCCUGGUAAGGUUUUUUAACGAGGCAGUAUCAUACGCGCAUAAUAGACAUCAAGGAGAAGUGUUAUAUUUAUUGUGAUGUCAAUUAUAGAAAAUCUUGUUCACCAAGAUUUACUUGUACUUGGUCUCCAAGCUAAACCCUCAUAUUGUAUCUAUAUAUAAAGAAUUCAUUAUUCAUGGAAUAAGACACACCAAUUCCUCUCUUCUCUUCUUUAUUCAAAACACAUCUUUAAAAUUUUAUAUGAAUCGUGAACCGAAACACUGACCGGAUCCGGUUUGGUUAGUGUGGAGGAGUCGCUUUCUGGGUUUGCUAAUGAACUACGUCACCGUCUCGUCACUGUAAUAUUUCACCUCCAAUUCUUCUUCCUCCUCGUUUCGUCUGAUGAGACCAAUUCAGGAUCACUGACGAGACGGUGCCGUUUUGGCUCUUUAGUGUCAUCUCAAUUUGACGGACAGUUGAAGAAAAUGGCGAAUUGGAUCUCGUCGAAGCUCAAAGCCGCCGAAACGAUUCUUCAACAGAUUGAUCAGCAGGCAGCAGAGUCUCUUCGAAAAGAUGAGAAGCCUGAGACCACCUAUGACGAGGCAUUUGAGACCUUUUCAAAAUCCGCAAGUCUUGUUUCGUUGAAAGAUCAGUUGAGGAAGAAAACAUAUGAAGGUAGUAGUAGUAGUGAUGGUGGAUCUCAGAGGAACUCAUUAGAGCUAAAACCUAGCGGUAAAACGCUGCGCAGAUCUGAUCAAGCAAGAGUAGUGGUAAUGGAGGGAUGCCACAAAAACAGAUGGAUAAGGAAGGGUCUAGCCGCCCUUCUGAUGCUGACAUGAAAAGUAAGAAUGCUUCUCAGGAUACGCACAAAGAGUCUGAGAAGGAUGUUAAUGCUGCUGCACCAUCUCCUCUGGAUAACUCCACAAGAUAUACUACUGAGACUUUCAUUAGGGAGAAAUUAUCAAAUGUAGGAAGAAAAGAAGGUCGUGAGCCUAUAAGAAGUGAUGUAUGGAGGAAACAAGUGAGGGGGGAAGUCUCAAAGAGCAAUGUUUCUGAUGGACUAGAGAGGAAGGAUUCUUCGUUUUCAAGUGAUGAUUCUGAAUCGGAUUAUGAGUCUGACUCGAGCACUGACUCUGAGAGGGAGCGUCAGAGGGAUGAGCGGAGGAGGAGAAGAGAGAAAGUUUUUGCUUAGAAAGUUGCAGCAAAAGCUGUAGAGGUUAUCAAAGAGCGUGAGAAU